UUCGUGUGACAGGCGCCUCCUCUUUGAAGGCUCUUGUGGAAAAGGCUCAACGUGAUGAAUUCCUCCGAGACAAGCCAUGGCAACCAUUUGCAGCAUGCUUUCAAGCAUCACGGCCCUGUGUAUGUUCGCCCCCCCUCGAACGCCCUGCUUCAAGCUCUGCGCCAUCCGAAUGCCAGCGGCUUUGAGAAUGUCAUACUGCGUGUACCUCAGCACCACGUCUCCUAUAGCAAUGCGAAGCAGGCCCUCAUAAAACUUUUUGGCCCCGGACGAAAAGAAGCCACCGUCGACUUCAUUAGUCGGAAGCGGG
rnacentral:lncRNA from 1 species